UACGUAGGGUGCGAGCGUUGUCCGGAAUUAUUGGGCGUAAAGAGCUCGUAGGCGGUUUGUCGCGUCGGCCGUGAAAACUUGGGGCUUAACCCCGAGCCUGCGGUCGAUACGGGCAGACUUGAGUUCGGCAGGGGAGACUGGAAUUCCUGGUGUAGCGGUGAAAUGCGCAGAUAUCAGGAGGAACACCGGUGGCGAAGGCGGUUCUCUGGGCCUUACCUGACGCUGAGGAGCGAAAGCAUGGGGAGCAAACAGG
rnacentral:rRNA from 1 species